UGUUUGCUUCACUGUAAAAUCUGAGGAUUUGAAGGAGGAAUGACUUAUCGGGAGAUUGGCAAUGAUGGUUUUGAAAAUCAGGAGUCUCUUGCCUGAAUCGGAAAAUUUGGCAAGUAUAUGCUGUUUGUCAUUACGCUAGCUGACUUAAAGAACAAUGACUGGAAGUGACAUUAAACAGCUUGGAGCUUCCUGGAAGAAUUGUUCACAAUCUGCCAAACUGCUACUUGGGAAAAGCGCCCUGAGAUAAGCCCCUAAAGUGACAUGAGGGGAAAAAAGAAAUAUGUUCCUCAUUAGGACAAGAAACUUUGUUUCACAUGGAAGACCUUCUUCUGCUGUUCCCUCUUCUUUUGCUAUGCUGCUGUGGCAGCAGACAUAGAGGGGAAAAAAAAGCCAAACAAGCUCGAGGGGAAACAAAUUUCAGUUGUAUUUUGUUUCCUGACUGUUGUCAAAUAAUUAUACAAUAAAAUACCAAAUGAUG